AAACGCUGGCGGCAUGCCUUACACAUGCAAGUCGAACGGCAGCACGGGAGCAAUCCUGGUGGCGAGUGGCGAACGGGUGAGUAAUAUAUCGGAACGUGCCCAGUCGUGGGGGAUAACGCAGCGAAAGCUGUGCUAAUACCGCAUACGAUCUAUGGAUGAAAGCGGGGGAUCGCAAGACCUCGCGCGAUUGGAGCGGCCGAUAUCAGAUUAGCUAGUUGGUGGGGUAAAAGCCCACCAAGGCGACGAUCUGUAGCUGGUCUGAGAGGACGACCAGCCACACUGGAACUGAGACACGGUCCAGACUCCUACGGGAGGCAGCAGUGGGGAAUUUUGGACAAUGGGCGCAAGCCUGAUCCAGCAAUGCCGCGUGCAGGAUGAAGGCCUUCGGGUUGUAAACUGCUUUUGUACGGAACGAAACGGUCUUCUCUAAUACAGAGGGCUAAUGACGGUACCGUAAGAAUAAGCACCGGCUAACUACGUGCCAGCAGCCGCGGUAAUACGUAGGGUGCGAGCGUUAAUCGGAAUUACUGGGCGUAAAGCGUGCGCAGGCGGUGAUGUAAGACAGAUGUGAAAUCCCCGGGCUCAACCUGGGACCUGCAUUUGUGACUGCAUCGCUGGAGUGCGGCAGAGGGGGAUGGAAUUCCGCGUGUAGCAGUGAAAUGCGUAGAUAUGCGGAGGAACACCGAUGGCGAAGGCAAUCCCCUGGGCCUGCACUGACGCUCAUGCACGAAAGCGUGGGGAGCAAACAGGAUUAGAUACCCUGGUAGUCCACGCCCUAAACGAUGUCAACUGGUUGUUGGGUCUUCACUGACUCAGUAACGAAGCUAACGCGUGAAGUUGACCGCCUGGGGAGUACGGCCGCAAGGUUGAAACUCAAGGGAAUUGACGGGGACCCGCACAAGCGGUGGAUGAUGUGGUUUAAUUCGAUGCUACGCGAAAAACCUUACCCACCUUUGACAUGUAUGGAAUCCUUUAGAGAUAGAGGAGUGCUCGAAAGAGAGCCAUAACACAGGUGCUGCAUGGCUGUCGUCAGCUCGUGUCGUGAGAUGUUGGGUUAAGUCCCGCAACGAGCGCAACCCUUGUCAUUAGUUGCUACAUUUAGUUGGGCACUCUAAUGAGACUGCCGGUGAUAAACCGGAGGAAGGUGGGGAUGACGUCAAGUCCUCAUGGCCCUUAUAGGUGGGGCUACACACGUCAUACAAUGGCUGGUACAAAGGGUUGCCAACCCGCGAGGGGGAGCUAAUCCCAUAAAACCAGUCGUAGUCCGGAUCGCAGUCUGCAACUCGACUGCGUGAAGUCGGAAUCGCUAGUAAUCGUGGAUCAGAAUGUCACGGUGAAUACGUU
rnacentral:rRNA from 1 species